AGGAGAGUUUGAUCCUGGCUCAGGAUGAACGCUGGCGGCGUGCCUAACACAUGCAAGUCGAACGGAGAUUACACGCUGACGAGGCUUCGGCCAAAUCUUGUGUAAUCUUAGUGGCGGACGGGUGAGUAACGCGUGGGCAACCUGCCUCAUACUGGGGGAUAGCAGUUGGAAACGACUGAUAAUACCGCAUAAGCGCACAGCAUCGCAUGAUGCAGUGUGAAAAACUCCGGUGGUAUGAGAUGGGCCCGCGUCAGAUUAGCUAGUUGGUAAGGUAACGGCUUACCAAGGCGACGAUCUGUAGCCGGACUGAGAGGUCGGACGGCCACAUUGGGACUGAGACACGGCCCAAACUCCUACGGGAGGCAGCAGUGGGGGAUAUUGCACAAUGGAGGAAACUCUGAUGCAGCGACGCCGCGUGAGUGAAGAAGUAUUUCGGUAUGUAAAGCUCUAUCAGCAGGGAAGAAAGGCCCGCAAGGGAGAUGACGGUACCUGACUAAGAAGCCCCGGCUAACUACGUGCCAGCAGCCGCGGUAAUACGUAGGGGGCAAGCGUUAUCCGGAUUUACUGGGUGUAAAGGGAGCGCAGACGGUCAUGCAAGUCUGAAGUGAAACCCCACGGCUCAACCGUGGGCUUGCUUUGGAAACUGUAUGACUAGAGUACUGGAGAGGUAAGCGGAAUUCCUAGUGUAGCGGUGAAAUGCGUAGAUAUUAGGAGGAACAUCGGUGGCGAAGGCGGCUUACUGGACAGCAACUGACGUUGAGGCUCGAAGGCGUGGGGAGCAAACAGGAUUAGAUACCCUGGUAGUCCCCU
rnacentral:rRNA from 1 species